UACGAAGGGGGCUAGCGUUGCUCGGAAUCACUGGGCGUAAAGCGCACGUAGGCGGAUCGUUAAGUCAGGGGUGAAAUCCUGGAGCUCAACUCCAGAACUGCCUUUGAUACUGGCGAUCUUGAGUUCGAGAGAGGUGAGUGGAACUGCGAGUGUAGAGGUGAAAUUCGUAGAUAUUCGCAAGAACACCAGUGGCGAAGGCGGCUCACUGGCUCGAUACUGACGCUGAGGUGCGAAAGCGUGGGGAGCGAACCGG
rnacentral:rRNA from 1 species